UCAGCCGGUGCUGGAAGGUUAAGAGGAAGUGUUAGCGCAAGCGAAGCAGUGAAUUGAAGCCCCAGUAAACGGCGGCCGUAACUAUAACGGUCCUAAGGUAGCGAAAUUCCUUGUCGGGUAAGUUCCGACCCGCACGAAAGGUGUAACGAUUUGGGCACUGUCUCAACGAGGGACCCGGUGAAAUUGAAGUACCUGUGAAGAUGCAGGUUACCCGCGACUGGACAGAAAGACCCCAUGGAGCUUUACUGUAACCUGAGAUUGGAUUCCGGUAAGAGAUGUACAGGAUAGUUGGGAGGCUGAGAAGUGAGUACGCCAGUAUUCACGGAGCCGCUGGUGGGAUACCAACCUUGUUUUAUUGGAAUUCUAACGAGAAGCGUAACGACCUUGGCAGUCGUCAGGCGGGCAGUUUGACUGGGGCGGUCGCCUCCGAAAGAGUAACGGAGGCGCCCAAAGGUUCCCUCAGCGCGGACGGAAACCGCGCGAAGAGUGCAAAGGCAGAAGGGAGCUUGACUGCGAGACGGACAGGUCGAGCAGGGACGAAAGUCGGGCUUAGUGAUCCGGUGGUAGAGAGUGGAAUUGCCAUCGCUCAACGGAUAAAAGCUACCCUGGGGAUAACAGGCUUAUCUCUCCCAAGAGUCCAUAUCGACGGGGAGGUUUGGCACCUCGAUGUCGGCUCAUCACAUCCUGGGGCUGAAGUAGGUCCCAAGGGUUGGGCUGUUCGCCCAUUAAAGUGGUACGCGAGCUGGGUUCAGAACGUCGUGAGACAGUUCGGUCCCUAUCCAUCGCGGGCGUAAGAAACUUGAAAGGGGCUGAGUCUAGCCGUAGUACGAGAGGACCGGAGUGGACCGACCAAUGGUGUACCAGUCAUGGCGCCAGCCGUGCAGCUGGGUAGCUACGUCGGGGACGGAUAAACGCUGAAAGCAUCUAAGCGUGAAACCAGCCUAGAGAUGAGGUUUCUCAUU
rnacentral:rRNA from 1 species